CGAAGGGGGCGAGCGUUGUUCGGAUUUACUGGGCGUAAAGGGCGCGCAGGCGGCUCGUUUUGUCAGGCGUGAAAGCCCCGGGCUUAACCUGGGAACUGCGUUUGAUACGGAUGGGCUAGAGUUCGGGAGAGGAGAGUGGAAUUCCCAGUGUAGAGGUGAAAUUCGUAGAUAUUGGGAAGAACACCGGUGGCGAAGGCGGCUCUCUGGACCGAGACUGACGCUGAGGCGCGAAAGCGUGGGGAGCAAACAGGAUUAGAUACCCUGGUAGUCCACGCUGUAAACGAUGUGUGCUAGACGUUGGGGAGCCUAGCUCUUCGGUGUCGCAGCUAACGCGGUAAGCACACCGCCUGGGGAGUACGGCCGCAAGGUUA
rnacentral:rRNA from 1 species